AGUGAACGCUGGCGGUAGGCCUAACACAUGCAAGUCGAACGGCAGCACAGUAAGAGCUUGCUCUUACGGGUGGCGAGUGGCGGACGGGUGAGGAAUACAUCGGAAUCUACUUUUUCGUGGGGGAUAACGUAGGGAAACUUACGCUAAUACCGCAUACGACCUACGGGUGAAAGCAGGGGAUCUUCGGACCUUGCGCGAUUGAAUGAGCCGAUGUCGGAUUAGCUAGUUGGCGGGGUAAAGGCCCACCAAGGCGACGAUCCGUAGCUGGGCUGAGAGGAUGGACCGCCCACACGGGAACGGAGAAAGGUCCCAGACCCUUACGGGAGGAAGCGUUGGGGAAUAUUGGACAAGGGGGGCAGGCUUGACCCAGCCAUACCGGGUGGGGGAGGAAGGCUUCCGGGUGUAAAAGCCUUUUGUUUGGGAAAAAAAGGAGGCAGGUAAAACCCCGCUUUUCCGACCGGUACCAAAAAAAAAAGCACCGGCAAACUCCUGG
rnacentral:rRNA from 1 species